CCUACGGGAGGCUGCAGUGAGGAAUAUUGGUCAAUGGGCGAGAGCCUGAACCAGCCAAGUCGCGUGAAGGAUGAAGGAUCUAUGGUUUGUAAACUUCUUUUAUAUGGGAAUAAAGUGAGGAACGUGUUCCUUUUUUUAUGUACCAUAUGAAUAAGCAUCGGCUAACUCCGUGCCAGCAGCCGCGGUAAUACGGAGGAUGCGAGCGUUAUCCGGAUUUAUUGGGUUUAAAGGGUGCGUAGGUGGUUAAUUAAGUCAGCGGUGAAAGUUUGUGGCUCAACCAUAAAAUUGCCGUUGAAACUGGUUGACUUGAGUAUAUUCGGGGUAGGCGGAAUGCGUGGUGUAGCGGUGAAAUGCAUAGAUAUCACGCAGAACUCCGAUUGCGAAGGCAGCUUACCAAACUAUAACUGACACUGAAGCACGAAAGCGUGGGGAUCAAACAGGAUUAGAUACCCCAGUAGUC
rnacentral:rRNA from 1 species